CCUACGGGUGGCAGCAGUGGGGAAUAUUGGACAAUGGGCGAAACCCUGAUCCAGCGACGCCGCGUGAGUGAAGACGUAUUUCGGUACGUAAAGCUCUAUCUGCAGGGAAGAAAAUGACGGUACCUGACUAAGAAGCCCCGGCUAACUACGUGCCAGCAGCCGCGGUAAUACGUCGGGGGCACGCGUUAUCCGGAUGUACUGGGUGUAAAGGGAGCGUAGACGGCAGCGCAAGUCUGGAGUGAAAUGCCGGGGCUCAACCACGGAACUGCUCGGGAAACUGUGAAGCUGGAGUGCAGGAGAGGUAAGCGGAAUUCGUGGUGUAGCGGUGAAAUGCGUAGAUAUCAGGAGGAACACCGGCGGCGAAGGCGGCUUACUGGACUGUAACUGACGUUGAGGCUCGAAGGCGUGGGGAGCGAACAGGAUUAGAUACCCGUGUAGUC
rnacentral:rRNA from 1 species